rnacentral:lncRNA from 1 species
GAGGCCUGAGGGCGGCCGUGAGGAAACCAUUUUUUCAAAAAAAUGAGAAAUGUGUGGCUAAUUCUUACUGCGUAUCAAAGAAAAACAUUCCACUUCAUUUAUGUGAGCCUGCAAGAAACAAAAGUAUCUCUGAACACUUCAUUGGCAAGAUUACAUCUAAAUAAGUGAUUUUCUUGCAAGCAGAGAAGAAUGAUGGCCUUAGAUGACUUCGUGGACAUGAGUUCUGGAUUUGUUACGAGCUUGAAGCGGGGGAUUUUGGAAUCAGAACGGCAAAGGGGUAUUUUAUAGGGGAAAGUAGUAUUUAAUAUUCUGUAUCUAACAGCAUCUCAUGCAUGAGAAGGAAUAUAAUGACACUCACUGGUUGGAAGGAGUUUUCUGCUAUUGCACCCGGUUCGUUCCAGGUCUCCAACAGCCAGGGACACAGCCAAACAAUCUAUUAACAUGACCUUUAGCUGCAAGGUUGGGAAGGAAAAGUUUAAUGACUGAAUUUUCUGCUGGUUAAUGUUGUUACAGUUGUUCUGAGCACUGAGAGUCAACCAGAAUUGGAAAGACUUGUGUAAGUGGGAACUGAGCUAAAGAAACAAACAGCCCAAACCCUUCAAACCCUGGACCGGCCAGGCAAAGAACACUGCUAAAAUGUUAUACUUCAGAGAACAACACAAGGCUUUUUUAGCCACGAUCAGCAAAUUAAUGAAAAAAAGAAUUUCAUGUCAGUUUUCUCCCUAAAAAUAAAUUGUAAGUGGAAGAUUUUCAUGCAUUUGGGUUCCCUUUUUCUGGAUAAUCUGCCUCUUUAGUGAAAGCACCUCCUCUUCUACUGAAAGCAGGACAACAGGGAGCAGCUCAGAAGGGACCAGGCAGCACCUCAGCGACCGCCCAGCAGAUGGCAGCACAGGCACACGGACAGACCGGGACACCUUCGCCACAGAAUUCAUAAUAAUAAUAAAAAAAAUAAAAUGCAAAGUCUCUUCCUCUCAACUCAAUUUCAGUGCUGGUUAUGAGGAAUCAGGAUAAGUUACAUUCUUUGUAUCGUGCCUCCUGGUAUUGCCAACUUACCUUUUCCUGCAGGAAUUCCCAUCAUUUCUAGGCAAAGCAAAGACUGAAUAUUCUGCCCGUUUCAUUUGCCCCAAAGGUGUUUAACUGCAGCCCUUCAUUUGCAGACAACACUCGGGUGAGAAAUAGUAUUGUCUAAGCCACUUGAGAUACAAUUUUUCUGUUUCACCUCUCUCACUAUAUAAAAUUUGAUGUUUUAUGAUUCACAAGGAGUAGUGAAAUGGAUCUAAGGAAGUAUUGAUUACAAGCCACUGAAAUUGCCUGUUAGAUUGUUGCCCUUCAGUUUAAAUACAACUUUAAAUAAUUUCUUAGUUUAAGCAUCCCGUUAUUCUCCCCAAAUCUGCCACUUUUAUAAUGGUUACUAUAGAUUCUGUCCGUCCUUCAGGGGAUGACUGGAUAUUACAUGUUCUUCAAAUCACUGAGUGAACAGUGAGAAGAUUAAUACUUUUUCAUAGAC